AUCUUAUGUAAGUGAGGGAAAUAAGUGGCUGCUUUUCUGAAAUUCUUCAAAGACACAUGGUGGUUCAUUCACUCCCUCAACUUUCUCUGCCAGGAGGCUUGGAGACUUCAUGAAAGAUGCUUCUCAGAGAAAGAAGGUGUUGGAAUUUGGGAAGACUUUAUUUGGUUGUGCCUGUGGUGAGUGAAGCCCUGAGCAGCUACGCCCCACUUUUGGGUGGGGGUGAGGUGAGACCACGCAGCCCUUCCUGCUGAGGUCGGCACUGCUAUGAAAUGCAGCCAAUUUGGCCCCUGUUCCUCAGGGUGUUGGGAGGAAGAGCUUCUCCCCAGCUGUUGCCGAAGGGAAUUCCCUGCAACUCUUAAAUGUCCC